GUAGGUGGCAAGCGUUGUCCGGAAUUAUUGGGCGUAAAGCGCGCGCAGGCGGUUCUUUAAGUCUGAUGUGAAAGCCCACGGCUCAACCGUGGAGGGUCAUUGGAAACUGGAGAACUUGAGUACAGAAGAGGAAAGCGGAAUUCCACGUGUAGCGGUGAAAUGCGUAGAGAUGUGGAGGAACACCAGUGGCGAAGGCGGCUUUCUGGUCUGUAACUGACGCUGAGGCGCGAAAGCGUGGGGAGCAAACAGGAUUAGAUACCCUGGUAGUCCACGCCGUAAACGAUGAGUGCUAAGUGUUAGGGGGUUUCCGCCCCCCUUAGUGCUGCAGCUAACGCAUUAAGCACUCCGCCUGGGAGUACGGCAGCAAGGCUG
rnacentral:rRNA from 1 species